rnacentral:rRNA from 1 species
UACGGGGGGGGCAAGCGUUGUUCGGAAUUACUGGGCGUAAAGGGCUCGUAGGUGGCCAACUAAGUCAGACGUGAAAUCCCUCGGCUUAACCGGGGAACUGCGUCUGAUACUGGAUGGCUUGAGUUUGGGAGAGGGACGCGGAAUUCCAGGUGUAGCGGUGAAAUGCGUAGAGAUCGGUAGGAACACCAGUGGCGAAGGCGGUCGUCCUGGGGUUAUCGUUGACGCUGAUGCGCGAAAGCUGGGGGAGCGAACGG